UACAGAGGUGGCAAGCGUUGUUCGGAAUUACUGGGCGUAAAGCGCACGUAGGCGGCUUUCUAAGUCGGGGGUGAAAUCCUGGAGCUCAACUCCAGAACUGCCUUCGAUACUGGAGAGCUUGAGUCCGGGAGAGGUGAGUGGAACUGCGAGUGUAGAGGUGAAAUUCGUAGAUAUUCGCAAGAACACCAGUGGCGAAGGCGGCUCACUGGCCCGGUACUGACGCUGAGGUGCGAAAGCGUGGGGAGCAAACAGG
rnacentral:rRNA from 1 species